rnacentral:rRNA from 1 species
CCUACGGGAGGCAGCAGUGAGGAAUAUUGGUCAAUGGGCGUAAGCCUGAACCAGCCAAGUCGCGUGAGGGAUGAAGGUUCUAUGGAUCGUAAACCUCUUUUAUAAGGGAAUAAAGUGUGGGACGUGUCCUGUUUUGUAUGUACCUUAUGAAUAAGGAUCGGCUAACUCCGUGCCAGCAGCCGCGGUAAUACGGAGGAUCCGAGCGUUAUCCGGAUUUAUUGGGUUUAAAGGGUGCGUAGGCGGCCUGUUAAGUCAGCGGUGAAAGUUUGUGGCUCAACCAUAGAAUUGCCGUUGAAACUGGGAGGCUUGAGUAUGUUUGAGGCAGGCGGAAUGCGUGGUGUAGCGGUGAAAUGCUUAGAUAUCACGCAGAACCCCGAUUGCGAAGGCAGCCUGCCAAGCCAUGACUGACGCUGAUGCACGAAAGCGUGGGGAUCAAACAGGAUUAGAUACCCCAGUAGUC